UGUCUGGGAAACUGCCUGAUGGAGGGGGAUAACUACUGGAAACGGUGGCUAAUACCGCAUAACGUCGCAAGACCAAAGAGGGGGACCUUCGGGCCUCUUGCCAUCAGAUGUGCCCAGAUGGGAUUAGCUUGUUGGUGAGGUAACGGCUCACCAAGGCGACGAUCCCUAGCUGGUCUGAGAGGAUGACCAGCCACACUGGAACUGAGACACGGUCCAGACUCCUACGGGAGGCAGCAGUGGGGAAUAUUGCACAAUGGGCGCAAGCCUGAUGCAGCCAUGCCGCGUGUAUGAAGAAGGCCUUCGGGUUGUAAAGUACUUUCAGCGGGGAGGAAGGUGUUGUGGUUAAUAACCGCAGCAAUUGACGUUACCCGCAGAAGAAGCACCGGCUAACUCCGUGCCAGCAGCCGCGGUAAUACGGAGGGUGCAAGCGUUAAUCGGAAUUACUGGGCGUAAAGCGCACGCAGGCGGUCUGUCAAGUCGGAUGUGAAAUCCCCGGGCUCAACCUGGGAACUGCAUUCGAAACUGGCAGGCUUGAGUCUUGUAGAGGGGGGUAGAAUUCCAGGUGUAGCGGUGAAAUGCGUAGAGAUCUGGAGGAAUACCGGUGGCGAAGGCGGCCCCCUGGACAAAGACUGACGCUCAGGUGCGAAAGCGUGGGGAGCAAACAGGAUUAGAUACCCUGGUAGUCCACGCCGUAAACGAUGUCUACUUGGAGGUUGUGCCCUUGAGGCGUGGCUUCCGGAGCUAACGCGUUAAGUAGACCGCCUGGGGAGUACGGCCGCAAGGUUAAAACUCAAAUGAAUUGACGGGGGCCCGCACAAGCGGUGGAGCAUGUGGUUUAAUUCGAUGCAACGCGAAGAACCUUACCUGGUCUUGACAUCCACAGAAGAAUCCAGAGAUGGAUUUGUGCCUUCGGGAACUGUGAGACAGGUGCUGCAUGGCUGUCGUCAGCUCGUGUUGUGAAAUGUUGGGUUAAGUCCCGCAACGAGCGCAACCCUUAUCCUUUGUUGCCAGCGGUUAGGCCGGGAACUCAAAGGAGACUGCCAGUGAUAAACUGGAGGAAGGUGGGGAUGACGUCAAGUCAUCAUGGCCCUUACGACCAGGGCUACACACGUGCUACAAUGGCGCAUACAAAGAGAAGCGACCUCGCGAGAGCAAGCGGACCUCAUAAAGUGCGUCGUAGUCCGGAUUGGAGUCUGCAACUCGACUCCAUGAAGUCGGAAUCGCUAGUAAUCGUGGAUCAGAAUGCCACGGUGAAUACGUUCCCGGGCCUUGUACACACCGCCCGUCACACCAUGGGAGUGGGUUGCAAAAGAAGUAGGUAGCUUAACCUUCGGGAGGGCGCUUACCACUUUGUGAUUCAUGACUGGGGUGAAGUCGUAACAAGGUAACCGUAGGGGAACCUGCGGUUGGAUCACCUCCUUACCUUAAAGAAGC
rnacentral:rRNA from 1 species